GGCGGUGUUUGGCACCUCGAUGUCGGCUCAUCACAUCCUGGGGCUGAAGCCGGUCCCAAGGGUAUGGCUGUUCGCCAUUUAAAGUGGUACGCGAGCUGGGUUUAGAACGUCGUGAGACAGUUCGGUCCCUAUCUGCCGUGGACGUUUGAGAUUUGAGAGGGGCUGCUCCUAGUACGAGAGGACCGGAGUGGACGAACCUCUGGUGUUCCGGUUGUCACGCCAGUGGCAUUGCCGGGUAGCUAUGUUCGGGAAAGAUAACCGCUGAAAGCAUCUAAGCGGGAAACUUGCCUCGAGAUGAGAUCUCACUGGAACCUUGAGUUCCCUAAAGGGCCGUCGAAGACUACGACGUUGAUAGGUGGGGUGUGUAAGCGCUGUGAGGCGUUGAGCUAACCCAUACUAAUUGCCCGUGAGGCUUGACCAU
rnacentral:rRNA from 1 species